GAUAUACUGUUCCUUGUGUUCCUCCCCCUCCGGUGGUGGUGGGUGGUCAGGAAGAGUAUGAGGUAUCUUCUAUCGUGGAUUCUAGGUUUUCUCGGGGCACUUUACAGUACUUGGUUGUUUGGAAAGGUUACGGUCCUGCUGAUCGUUCUUGGGUUUCGGCUCCUGACCUGCAUGCGGGCCGUAAGAUCCGCGCUUUUCACGCUAAAUUUCCUCUCAAGCCUGGUCCUGUCCGCCCGGUGGGCGUUCUUCAGGUGGGGGGGUAAUGUCACGUAUUCAUCCGCUUAUAGAAAUGUGGUUAAUAACAUUUACUGUCCACACAGGAAAAGUUGUGCCGAGCAG